GACGAACGCUGGCGGCGUGCUUAACACAUGCAAGUCGAACGGUAAGGCCCUUCGGGUACGACGAGUGGCGAACGGGUGAGUAACACGUGGUGAUCUGCCCUGCACUUCGGGAUAAGCUUGGGAAACUGGGUCUAAUACCGGAUAGGACCACGGUCUGCAUGGAUUGUGGUGGAAAGCUUUUGCGGUGUGGGAUGGGCCCGCGGCCUAUCAGCUUGUUGGUGGGUGAUGGCCUACCAAGGCGACGACGGGUAGCCGGCCUGAGAGGUGUCCGGCCACACUGGGACUGAGAUACGGCCCAGACUCCUACGGGAGGCAGUAGUGGGGAAUAUUGCACAAUGGGCGCAAGCCUGAUGCAGCGACGCCGCGU
rnacentral:rRNA from 1 species